GAUAUUCGUUUAAAUAACUAGGCAAAUUAUUGUGAAUUUCAAUUUAAGUACAAAAAUAUAAUAUAUUUCAAACUACUACCCACCUAAAUCACCAUAUAGUAUAUGAUAUCUCGAUUAAACGCCUAACAACAUUGAAUGUAAUUGUAAUAAAAACAAAAUAUUCAGUUUUUUUUAAUAUUUCAAUUUUUACUGUUCUUUUCUCUGACAACCGAUCAACAUAAAAGGAUAAGCGUUAUUCACCUAAACGCACUCUCGGGUAUUGUAUUCCGAAACAAAGUAUCGUGGCGGGAGCAAUAUGCCAUAAUUGGGACAAGAAGAAGAGCGAUAAAAGAGGAAAAAUAAUUUUAGAGGAAUACACUCGCGACUGUAGAAAACGAUACUGAAAGCAAAUCAACCGGAUAUACUAUAAGGUGUACUUUGUAUUAUGCAUGGUAUAAUUAUGAUUUAUAUACAGGGUAACUUGCAUUUAACAUAAUGCAGCGAAUUUCUCAAAUAAUUUUAA